rnacentral:rRNA from 1 species
GACGAACGCUGGCGGCGUGCUUAACACAUGCAAGUCGAACGGAAAGGCCCUGCUUUUGUGGGGUUCUCGAGUGGCGAACGGGUGAGUAACACGUGAGUAACCUGCCCUUGACUUUGGGAUAACUUCAGGAAACUGGGGCUAAUACCGGAUAGGAGCUCCUGCUGCAUGGUGGGGGUUGGAAAGUUUCGGCGGUUGGGGAUGGACUCGCGGCUUAUCAGCUUGUUGGUGGGGUAGUGGCUUACCAAGGCUUUGACGGGUAGCCGGCCUGAGAGGGUGACCGGCCACAUUGGGACUGAGAUACGGCCCAGACUCCUACGGGAGGCAGCAGUGGGGAAUAUUGCACAAUGGGCGGAAGCCUGAUGCAGCAACGCCGCGUGCGGGAUGACGGCCUUCGGGUUGUGAACCGCUUUCGCCUGUGACGAAGCGUGAGUGACGGUAAUGGGUAAAGAAGCACCGGCUAACUACGUG